rnacentral:rRNA from 1 species
UGGGGAAUUUUGGACAAUGGGCGAAAGCCUGAUCCAGCCAUGCCGCGUGAGUGAAGAAGGCCUUCGGGUUGUAAAGCUCUUUUAGUCGGAAAGAAAGAGUUGCAAUGAAUAAUUGUGAUUUAUGACGGUACCGACAGAAAAAGCACCGUCUAACUACGUGCCAGCAGCCGCGGUAAUACGUAGGGUGCGAGCGUUAAUCGGAAUUACUGGGCGGAAAGGGUGCGCAGGCGGUCUUGCAAGUCAGAUGUGAAAGCCACGGGCUUAACCUGGGAAUUGCGUUUGAAACUACAAGACUAGAGUGCAGCAGAGGGGAGUGGAAUUCCAUGUGUAGCAGUGAAAUGCGUAGAGAUGUGGAAGAACACCGAUGGCGAAGGCAGAUCCCUGGGUUGACACUGACGCUCAUGCACGAAAGCGUGGGGAGCAAACA